UACGUAGGGACCGAGCGUUGUCCGGAAUCAUUGGGCGUAAAGAGCGUGUAGGCGGCCACUUAAGUCUUGCGUGAAAUCUUGCGGCUCAACCGCAAGCGGUCGUGGGAAACUGGGUGGCUAGAGUGCGGGAGAGGAGAGUGGAAUUCCUGGUGUAGCGGUGAAAUGCGCAGAUAUCGGGAAGAACACCCGUGGCGAAGGCGGCUCUCUGGGACGGUACUGACGCUGAGACGCGAAAGCGUGGGGAGCGAACAGG
rnacentral:rRNA from 1 species